AAGCGUCACCUCCAGUAGAACAUAUCCAUUAAAGCAAGAAUGGCAUUCAAGUUUGUUUUGUUCGCCGCCCUGGUCGCUGCCGCCAGCGCUGGACUGAUUGCUCAGCAUGGACACAUUGGACACGCUUCGUCCCACCAAACUUUCCAGCAGCACCAUUCCGCUCCGGUUCACCACGUGGCUGCCAUCCACGCUGCUCCAGUCCGUGAAGGAAGUCGAGCACCACGCUCCGGCCAACUACGAGUUCUCGUACGCCGUCCACGAUGAGCACACCGGAGACAUCAAGAGCCAGCACGAGACCCGCCAUGGAGAUGAGGUCCAUGGUCAGUACAGUCUGAUCGAUUCCGAUGGUCACCAGCGUAUCGUCGAUUACCACGCCGAUCAUCACUCCGGAUUCAACGCCGUCGUCCGUCGUGAGCCAACCCACGUGAAGAUCGCUCAGCCAGUGCACAAGGUCAUUGCUCAGCCCGUCCAUGUCCAUGCUGCCCCAGUCGCCCAUCACUCGUACUCCCAUGCUGCCCCAGCUGUUGCUUACACUUCCCAGCACCAUGUUGCCCCAGUGGCCCAUGCUACCAUCUCCCAUGUUGCCCCGGUUGCCUACACCAGCGGUCACGGACAUGGACAUCAUGCCACCAGCCACAUCAGCCAGAUCAGCCACAACAGCCAUUACUAAAUGGAAAUAGUUACCCACUUGAUAGCCCAAUUGCGUCGAAAUAAAAGUACAAACAUGUUUAAGUAUUAUCA